UCAGUAACGGCGAGUGAAGCGGCAAACGCUCAAAUUUGGAAUCUGGCGCCCUCGGCGUCCGACUUGUAAUUUGAAAACUCUAUCUUGGGAGGCGGCGCUGUCGAAGUUCCUUGGAACAGGACGUCCCAGAGGGUGAGAAUCCCGUGCGAUGGCAGCCGCGGACCAUGUAAGUUACUGUCGACGAGUCUAGUUGUUUGGGAAUGCAGCUCUAAUUGGGUGGUAAACUCCAUCUAAAGCUAAAUAUUGGCGAGAGACCGAUAGCGAACAAGUACGGUGAUGGAAAGAUGAAAAGAACUUUGAAAACACAGUGAAAAAGUACGUGAAAUUGUUGAAAGGGAAGGGCUUGAGAUCAGACAUGCCUUCGGGCAGGCCAGCAUCCGCUGGAAGGGGCAGACAAGGGCGCCGCAAUGUGGCCUGGCUUCGGCGAGGUGUUAUAGGCGGCGUCGAUGUGUCCACUUCCGGCUGAGGACCGCGCUUCGGCAAGGAUGCUGGCGUAAUGAUCCCCAGCCGCCCGUCUUGAAACACGGACCAAGGAGUCUAACGUCUAUGCGAGUGUUUGGGUGUAAAACCCGUACGCGGAAUGAAAGUGAACGCAGGUGGGGGCCCCUCGGGGUGCACCAUCGACCGAUCCUGAAGUGUUCGGAAGGAUUUGAGUAAGAGCAUAGCUGUUGGGACCCGAAAGAUGGUGAACUAUGCCUGAAUAGGGUGAAGCCAGAGGAAACUCUGGUGGAGGCUCGUAGCGGUUCUGACGUGCAAAUCGAUCGUCGAAUUUGGGUAU
rnacentral:rRNA from 1 species